rnacentral:rRNA from 1 species
UACGAAGGUGGCAAGCGUUGUUCGGAUUUACUGGGCGUAAAGGGUGUGUAGGUGGCGCCGUAAGUCGGGUGUGAAAUUUCGGAGCUUAACUCCGAAACUGCAUUCGAUACUGCGGUGCUUGAGGACUGGAGAGGAGACUGGAAUUCAUGGUGUAGCAGUGAAAUGCGUAGAGAUCAUGAGGAAGACCAGUGGCGAAGGCGGGUCUCUGGACAGUUCCUGACACUGAGACACGAAGGCCAGGGGAGCAAACGGG